rnacentral:rRNA from 1 species
GAAUAUUGGACAAUGGGCGAAAGCCUGAUCCAGCCAUGCCGCGUGUGUGAAGAAGGUCUUCGGAUUGUAAAGCACUUUAAGUUGGGAGGAAGGGUAGUAACUUAAUACGUUGCUAUUUUGACGUUACCGACAGAAUAAGCACCGGCUAACUUCGUGCCAGCAGCCGCGGUAAUACGAAGGGUGCAAGCGUUAAUCGGAAUUACUGGGCGUAAAGCGCACGUAGGUGGCGACUUAAGUCGGAUGUGAAAGCCCUGGGCUUAACCUGGGAAUUGCAUCCGAUACUGGGUGGCUAGAGUACGGUAGAGGGAGGUGGAAUUCCAGGUGUAGCGGUGAAAUGCGUAGAGAUCUGGAGGAACACCGGUGGCGAAGGCGGCCUCCUGGACUGAUACUGACACUGAGGUGCGAAAGCGUGGGGAGCAAACAGG